UCUGUAGUUGUUGAUUGGGUGGUAGUCGGUUCUGUAGUUGUUGAUUGGGUGGUAGUCGGUUGGGUGUUGUUGAUUGGGUGGUACUCGGUUGGGUGGUAGUCGGUUCUGUAGUUGUUGAUUGGGUGGUAGUCGGUUGGGUGGUAGUCGGUUCUGUAGUUGUUGAUUGGGUGGUAGUCGGUUUUGUAGUUGUUGAUUGGGUGGUAGUCGGUUCUGUAGUUGUUGAUUGGGUGGUACUCGGUUGGGUGGUAGUCGGUUCUGUAGUUGUUGAUUGGGUGGUAGUCGGUUUUGUAUUGUUGAUUGGGUGGUAGUCGUUUGGGUGGUAGUCAGUUGGGUGGUAGUCGGUUCUGUAGUUGUUGAUUGGGUGGUAGUCAGUUCUGUAGUUGUUGAUUGGGUGGUAGUCAGUUCUGUAGUUGUUGAUUGGGUGGUAGUCAGUUCUGUAGUUGUUGAUUGGGUGGUAGUCGGUUCUGUAGUUGUUGAUUGGGUGGUAGUCAGUGCUGUAGUUGUUGAUUGGGUGGUAGUCGGUUCUGUUGUUGUUGAUUGGGUGGUAGUCAGUUCUGUAGUUGUUGAUUGGGUGGUAGUCGGUUCUGUAGUUGUUGAUUGGGUGGUAGUCAGUUCUGUAGUUGUUGAUUGGGUGGUAGUCAGUUCUGUAGUUGUUGAUUGGGUGGUAGUCGGUUCUGUAGUUGUUGAUUGGGUGGUAGUCAGUUCUGUAGUUGUUGAUUGGGUGGUAGUCAGUUCUGUAGUUGUUGAUUGGGUGGUAGUCGGUUCUGUAUU